rnacentral:rRNA from 2 species
ACGCUGGCGGCGUGCCUAAUACAUGCAAGUCGAACGAGUUCUCGUUGAUGAUCGGUGCUUGCACCGAGAUUCAACAUGGAACGAGUGGCGGACGGGUGAGUAACACGUGGGUAACCUGCCCUUAAGUGGGGGAUAACAUUUGGAAACAGAUGCUAAUACCGCAUAGAUCCAAGAACCGCAUGGUUCUUGGCUGAAAGAUGGCGUAAGCUAUCGCUUUUGGAUGGACCCGCGGCGUAUUAGCUAGUUGGUGAGGUAAUGGCUCACCAAGGCGAUGAUACGUAGCCGAACUGAGAGGUUGAUCGGCCACAUUGGGACUGAGACACGGCCCAAACUCCUACGGGAGGCAGCAGUAGGGAAUCUUCCACAAUGGACGCAAGUCUGAUGGAGCAACGCCGCGUGAGUGAAGAAGGCUUUCGGGUCGUAAAACUCUGUUGUUGGAGAAGAAUGGUCGGCAGAGUAACUGUUGUCGGCGUGACGGUAUCCAACCAGAAAGCCACGGCUAACCUACGUGCCAGCAGCCGCGGUAAUACGUAGGUGGCAAGCGUUAUCCGGAUUUAUUGGGCGUAAAGCGAGCGCAGGCGGUUUUUUAAGUCUGAUGUGAAAUCCCUCGGCUUAACCGAGGAAGCGCAUC